rnacentral:rRNA from 1 species
AGAACGAACGCUGGCGGCAUGCCUAACACAUGCAAGUCGAACGAGACCUUCGGGUCUAGUGGCGCACGGGUGCGUAACGCGUGGGAAUCUGCCCUUGGGUUCGGAAUAACAGUUAGAAAUGACUGCUAAUACCGGAUGAUGACGUAAGUCCAAAGAUUUAUCGCCCAAGGAUGAGCCCGCGUAGGAUUAGCUAGUUGGUGAGGUAAAGGCUCACCAAGGCGACGAUCCUUAGCUGGUCUGAGAGGAUGAUCAGCCACACUGGGACUGAGACACGGCCCAGACUCCUACGGGAGGCAGCAGUGGGGAAUAUUGGACAAUGGGCGAAAGCCUGAUCCAGCAAUGCCGCGUGAGUGAUGAAGGCCUUAGGGUUGUAAAGCUCUUUUACCCGGGAUGAUAAUGACAGUACCGGGAGAAUAAGCUCCGGCUAACUCCGUGCCAGCAGCCGC